UGGGUAACCUGCCUCAAAGAGGGGAAUAGCCUCCCGAAAGGGAGAUUAAUACCGCAUAAUAUGUUUAAGUCGCAUGACUUUAACAUCAAAAGGAUUUUUCUUUUAAGAAAUUCCACCUUGAGAUGGACCCGGCGGUGCAUUAGCUAGUUGGUGAGGUAACGGCUCACCAAGGCAACGAUGCGUAGCCGACCUGAGAGGGUNAUCGGCCACAUUGGAACUGACGACACCGGUCCAGACCUCGUACGGGA
rnacentral:rRNA from 1 species